rnacentral:tRNA from 1 species
AUGAAAGCCAAAAUAGAGGCGCCUAGCUGUUAAUUAGGAUAAUGUAAUUAUUAAUUUACUCAUUUAAUCAUAGUAUAUAA